UCAAUUUUGACAAAUCUUUCGACUCUUCUAUGGUUACUACCAUGUGGUCGAACUUUGGAACCAACGACCUCAAGCUCUUUCCAACAACAGAUAUUGAUGUCAACACUUCUCCAUAUACCUUGAUUUUAGUCACCAGUGUCGUAACCUUAGUGAAGAAAUCAGUUAUGCUUUCAUUGUAUUCCAUUUGAAGCAAUUCAUACGUUAUUUUGUGAGUUUGCAACCUCACCUCUUUCACCUUCUCUGUGCCUCCAAACGACUUCUCCAGAAUUUCCCAUGCUUCU
rnacentral:lncRNA from 1 species